GGGGAGUGAAACAGUUCCUGAAACCGGACGCCUACAAACAGUCGGAGCCUACCGUGGACCUUCGGGUCAAUGGAUUGGUGACGGCGUACCUUUUGUAUAAUGGGUCAACGACUUGGUCUUACUAGCAAGCUUAAGCCGUUAGGUGUAGGCGCAGCGAAAGCGAGUCUGAAUAGGGCGCAUGAGUUAGUAGGAUCAGACCCGAAACCGAGUGAUCUAGGCAUGUCCAGGAUGAAGGUUCGGUAAUACGAACUGGAGGUCCGAACCCACACCUGUUGAAAAAGGUCGGGAUGAGGUGUGCCUAGGGGUGAAAGGCCAAUCAAACUCGGAGAUAGCUGGUUCUCCGCGAAAUCUAUUUAGGUAGAGCGUCAGACGAAUACUCCCGGGGGGUAGAGCACUGGAUGGGUAAUGGGGGACCCACAGUCUUACUGAUCCUAACCAAACUCCGAAUACCGGGAAGUAAUAUCUGGCAGACACACGGCGGGUGCUAAGGUCCGUCGUGAAAAGGGAAACAGCCCUGACCUGCAGCUAAGGCCCCUAAUUCGUGGCUAAGUGGGAAAGCAUGUGGGACGACCAAAAACAACCAGGAUGUUGGCUUAGAAGCAGCCAUCAUUUAAAGAAAGCGUAACAGCUCACUGGUCUAGACAAGUUGUCCUGCGGCGAAG
rnacentral:rRNA from 1 species